CAGCCGCCGCGGGAAUACGAAGGGGGCUAGCGUUACUCGGAAUUACUGGGCGUAAAGGGCGCGUAGGCGGCGCUCCAAGUUAGGCGUGAAAGUCCUGGGCUCAACCUGGGAACUGCGCUUAAGACUGGAGUGCUUGAGGAUGGAAGAGGGUUGUGGAAUUCCCAGUGUAGAGGUGAAAUUCGUAGAUAUUGGGAAGAACACCGGUGGCGAAGGCGGCAACCUGGUCCAUUACUGACGCUGAGGCGCGACAGCGUGGGGAGCAAACAGGAUUAGAUACCCGCGUAGUCCCUGUCUCUUAUAA
rnacentral:rRNA from 1 species